rnacentral:sRNA from 1 species
GGGGAUGUAUUUUGGUUUCGACGGCAAGUUAGAAAAAUAGAAAGCGAGUAGUGGAGAUGCCAGACCACUUAAAAAGGCAUAAUUAAAUUUAAACGCUAAUAACGAAGAAUUAGCUUACGCUGCCUAAGCGGUGUACGUUCUACCUUUGAUACCUACAGCUUAGGAUAGGGCGCCGAUUAUGUAGGAAACGAAACUGAUAGAUGCUUUUGCUAUUAGUGGGACUUUUAAAAAGCUACUAUAAAUAUUGUUUGUUUGUUAAUGAUAUUUAUAGGAAAUAAUAAUAACAAACUGCACUCGGAGAUGUCUAUUUGGAAAAUUUGUUGGACAGGGGUUCAACUCCCCUCAUCUCCACCA